rnacentral:tRNA from 1 species
AGGGGAAUAACUUAGUGAUAGAGCACAUGCUUAGCCUGCAUGAGAUCCUGAGUUCAAUUCCCAGUGCCUCCA